rnacentral:rRNA from 1 species
AUCAUUACAGAGUUACUACUCCAAACCCAUUGUGAACCUUACCUAUGUUCUGUUGCCUCGGCGGCGCGGUCAGCGCCCCUCUGAAAAGAGGACGAUGCCCUCCCGCCGGCAGCACCAAACUCUUGAAUUUUACAGCGGAUUACAGUUCUGAUUUUAAAAACAAAAAACAAGUUAAAACUUUCAACAACGGAUCUCUUGGUUCUGGCAUCGAUGAAGAACGCAGCGAAAUGCGAUAAGUAAUGUGAAUUGCAGAAUUCAGUGAAUCAUCGAAUCUUUGAACGCACAUUGCGCCCGGCAGUAAUCUGCCGGGCAUGCCUGUCCGAGCGUCAUUUCAACCCUCGAACCUCCGUUUCCUCAGGGAAGCUCAGGGUCGGUGUUGGGGCGCUACGGCGAGUCUUCGCGACCCUCCGUAGGCCCUGAAAUACAGUGGCGGUCCCGCCGCGGUUGCCUUCUGCGUAGUAAGUCUCUUUUUGCAAGCUCGCAUUGGGUCCCGGCGGAGGCCUGCCGUCAAACCACCUAUAACUCCAGAUGGU